rnacentral:rRNA from 1 species
CCUCCCCUCGCACAGCCGCCACCCACCUCCACCACGCCUUCUUCCUAUCCCGAUUCCCACCCACAUUGCCGCCGCUGCCGCCGGCCUACGCCCUCCCCCCACACCGCCGCCGUGAAACCCCCUCCUCACCUUCUCUCCCCGGUCGAGCAGCAGCAGGUCAGGCGGAGGCGGCAGCCAGAUCCACUGCGUUGCUUCCGGAUCCGCGCCCUCCCCACCCCCGAUUCAUCUCCAAUCCCGCCGCCGACACCCAACCCCACCCCCACCGGCGACCUCCCCUAACCCCAUCACCACCGGCGACCUCCCUCCCUUGCUCCUCAACCCAACCUAACCCCGAUUCGAUUCAGUUCAGAGACGAAUCCCCUUCCACAUCGCCGCCGCCGCCACACACUGCCGAUCCCCUCACAUCCGGCCGGUGGCCAUGGCCUCCGGUAUCUCCCCGACAGCCGCCACUCCCGUACCCUCUCCAGUCCCCUCCCCUGCGCUGCCCUCACCAGAAGAGGAAGAGAAGAGGUAGGGAGACCAAGCGAGCUGGUCAGGCGGCCGCCAUGGCGUGACCAGAUCCGCCACGGUUGCCCAUGGUUUCUUCGACCUGGGCCUCGACGGAGGUCGCCAUGGCCUGCUCCGUGCUGAUCCUCUCUUCCUCACCUCACAUCAGGCGACGGCCAAAUCAAGGCGUAUUCGCACCAUCGUCAAUGGCCUCAAUGGAGGUGCUCGCGUGCCGGCUUCCUCCUCCUGCUUCUUCUCGGCCGCUGCCGACGCCAUGGAGCUUCCUAGCCUAGCAGGAAGGGGGAAGAAGAGACAGCGGGACGGAAGUAAGGAGGCCGCCGGGGAGUGAGGUGUUGUACUCGACGAAGAUAGCUGACGCCUCUGUUUGUGAUGCCACAUGACAAGCAUAGGGAAGAGCCCACCAUCGCCAGCUUGCUCCACCACAAGUCGCGCUUGCCCUCCGUGCUCAACAUGGCACUGCUUGUCCUGGGAGUGAUUAUUCUCAUUGUAUACUUCAACAACGGCUCAGGUACACGAAGGCUGGGAGCGCCAAGGCGCACCUCACGCGCGGGGAUGCCGACAAGAAGGAUGUGGGCGAGGACUUCUUCGUCUUCAUGGGCGAGUUCCGCAAGGAGUUCAAGCAGAAGAACCCCAAGAACAAGUCUGUCACUGCUGUAGGCAAAGCAGCCGGUGGGAGGUGGAAGAACUUGAGCGAGUCGAUCAUGGUGUACCAGCUUUGCAAGGGCGUUGCUUUUUGCCACGGACGCGGUGUUCGGCACCAUGACCUUAAGCCACACAACCUACAAAUUGGUGGAUGGGUGAAUGAGGUUUUCAAAUAUUGAAGGAGGAGGACAAUAUGAACUUCUGUUCUGUCUUAUCAUCUAAACUUCUGUUUUAAUUUUCUUUGUUGUAGAAUAGUUUUGUUUGGCACUUACUAUUCCUGGGAUGUAAAGAUAUGUAUUGCUAGAAUGAAUGGUUGUAAUAUAAGCAAUAUUAUAUUUUGGGCUCCUAUAACAUUGCACGUUGCUUUGAAAAUGUAUCAGAACUGGGCUAGGCCCAAGAUAGCUUGUGGUG